rnacentral:rRNA from 1 species
UAUACCGUGAAACUGCGAAUGGCUCAUUAAAUCAGUUAUCGUUUAUUUGAUAGUACCUUACUACUUGGAUAACCGUGGUAAUUCUAGAGCUAAUACAUGCUGAAAACCCCGACUCAGGAAGGGGUGUAUUUAUUAGAUAAAAAACCAAUGCCCUUCGGGGCUCCUUGGUGAUUCAUGAUAACUUCUCAGAUCGCAUGGCCUUGCGCCGGCGACGGUUCAUUCAAAUUUCUGCCCUAUCAACUUUCGAUGGUAAGGUAUUGGCUUACCAUGGUUUCAACGGGUAACGGGGAAUUAGGGUUCGAUUCCGGAGAGCGAGCCUGAGAAACGGCUAGCACAUCCAAGGAAGGCAGCAGGCGCGCAAAUUACCCAAUCCCGACACGGGGAGGUAGUGACAAUAAAUACUGAUACAGGGCUCUUUUGGGUCUUGUAAUUGGAAUGAGUACAAUUUAAACCUCUUAACGAGGAACAAUUGGAGGGCAAGUCUGGUGGACAUUCAGCUCCCACUUUGCUGACGCCAGCGAUAGUCGGGCACCGCAAGGUGCUAUGCCGGCUAGUCGAGUACCUAUGUCAUGAUGGGCAGGUACCGGCAAGACAACCUGGAUCGGGGAAGGCUAAGGCGUUACGAUGCUAUGCUAAUCCCGAGCAGAGCUACUGCGAAGCGAUUCGCGGAUAGCCUGUGUAGAGCGCGGAAAGGUGUCGGCCAGCUCUCGUAGCUGGCUUAAGGGACGUGCCAUUCCCACCCGAAAGGGUGGCUGCCAGCAUGAGCGCCCAUCACGCAAGGGCUGGCAGGUUCGAACGAUCACUAGGGAAGUUGAGAUGCGCGAGACCCCAUCGUCUGGUGCCAAGUCCCCUGUUCGAAUAUUAUUAUAGGCCAGCAGCCGCGGUAAUUCCAGCUCCAAUAGCGUAUAUUAAAGUUGUUGCAGUUAAAAAGCUCGUAGUUGAACCUUUGGCCUGGCUGGCAGGUCCGCCUCACCGCGUGCACUUGUCCGGCCGGGCCUUCUCUUCUGGAGAACCGCAUGCCCUUCACUGGGUGUGUUGGGGACCAGGACUUUUACUUUGAAAAAAUUAGAGUGUUCAAAGCAGGCCUUUGCUCGAAUACGUUAGCAUGGAAUAAUAGAAUAGGACGUGCGGUCCUAUUUUGUUGGUUUCUAGGACCGCCGUAAUGAUUAAUAGGGACAGUCGGGGGCAUCAGUAUUCAAUUGUCAGAGGUGAAAUUCUUGGAUUUAUUGAAGACUAACUAUUGCGAAAGCAUUUGCCAAGGAUGUUUUCAUUAAUCAGUGAACGAAAGUUAGGGGAUCGAAGACGAUCAGAUACCGUCGUAGUCUUAACCAUAAACUAUGCCGACUAGGGAUCGGGCGGUGUUAUUCUAUUGACUCGCUCGGCACCUUACGAGAAAUCAAA